rnacentral:rRNA from 1 species
AUCCGGAAUCAUUGGGCGUAAAGGGUCCGCAGGUGGCCAAUCAAGUCGGCUGUUAAAGACCGGGGCUUAACUCCGGGCAGGCAGUGGAAACUGAUUAGCUAGAGUACGGUAGGGGUAGAGGGAAUUCCCAGUGUAGCGGUGAAAUGCGUAGAUAUUGGGAAGAACACCGGUGGCGAAAGCGCUCUACUAGGCCGAAACUGACACUGAGGGACGAAAGCUAGGGUAGCGAAAGGGAUUAGAUACCCCUGUAGUCUUAGCUGUAAACGAUGGAUACUAGGUGUAGCUCGUAUCGACCCCAGCUGUGCCAAAGUUAACGCGAUAAGUAUCCCGCCUGGGGAGUACGCACGCAAGUGUGAAACUCAAAGGAAUUGACGGGGGCCCGCACAAGCGGUGGAGUAUGUGGUUUAAUUCGAUGCAACGCGAAGAACCUUACCAGGGCUUGACAUGUCGCGAAUCUAGCGGAAACGUUAGAGUGCCUUAGGGAAUGCGAACACAGGUGGUGCAUGGCUGUCGUCAGCUCGUGUCGUGAGAUGUUGGGAUAAGUCCCGCAACGAGCGCAACCCUCGUCCUUAGUUGCCAAUAUUAAGUUAGGCACUCUAGGGAUACUGCCGGGGACAACUCGGAGGAAGGUGGGGAUGACGUCAAGUCAGCAUGCCCCUUACGUCCUGGGCGACACACGUACUACAAUGGUUGGGACAAAGGGCAGCAAGCUCGCGAGAGUAAGCGAAUCUCAUCAAACCCAGCCACAGUUCAGAUUGCAGGCUGCAACUCGCCUGCAUGAAGUAGGAAUCGCUAGUAAUCGCAGGUCAGCAUACUGCGGUGAAUUCGUUCCCGGGCCUUGUACACACCGCCCGUCACACCAUGGAAGCUGGCUACGCCCGAAGUCGUUACCCUAACCCUAAGGGGAGGGGGAUGCCGAAGGUAGAGCUAGUGACUGGGGUGAAGUCGUAACAAGGUAGCCGUACCUGAAGGUGUGGCUGGAUCACCUCCUUU